rnacentral:rRNA from 1 species
UACGUAGGGUGCAAGCGUUGUCCGGAAUUAUUGGGCGUAAAGAGCUCGUAGGCGGUCUGUCGCGUCGGCUGUGAAAACCCGGAGCUCAACUCCGGGCCUGCAGUCGAUACGGGCAGACUGGAGUUCGGCAGGGGAGACUGGAAUUCCUGGUGUAGCGGUGAAAUGCGCAGAUAUCGGGAGGAACACCGGUGGCGAAGGCGGCGAUCUGGGUCGAUACUGACGCUGAGGUGCGAAAGCGUGGGGAGCAAACAGG